UACGUAGGGCGCAAGCGUUGUCCGGAAUUAUUGGGCGUAAAGAGCUCGUAGGCGGCUUGUCACGUCGGAUGUGAAAGCCCGAAGCUUAACCUCGGGUCUGCAUUCGAUACGGGCUAGCUAGAGUGUGGUAGGGGAGAUCGGAAUUCCUGGUGUAGCGGUGAAAUGCGCAGAUAUCAGGAGGAACACCGGUGGCGAAGGCGGAUCUCUGGGCCAUUACUGACGCUGAGGAGCGAAAGCGUGGGGAGCGAACAGG
rnacentral:rRNA from 1 species